CAGCUGUAAACGAUGCAGACUAGGUGUUUGGACGGCCACGUGCCGUUCUAGUGCCGCAGGGAAGCUGUUAAGUCUGCCGCCUGGGGAGUACGAUCGCAAGAUUGAAACUUAAAGGAAUUGGCGGGGGAGCACCACAAGGGGUGAAGCUUGCGGUUUAAUUGGAGUCAACGCCGGAAAUCUCACCGGGAGCGACAGCAGUGUGAUAGCCAGAUUAAAGGUCUUGCUAGACGAGCUGAGAGGUGGUGCAUGGCGUCAGUGACU
rnacentral:rRNA from 1 species